UGGCGGACGGGUGAGUAACGCGUGGGUAACCUGCCUCACACAGGGGGAUAACAGUUGGAAACGGCUGCUAAUACCGCAUAAGCGCNCAGUACCGCAUGGUACAGUGUGAAAAACUCCGGUGGUGUGAGAUGGACCCGCGUCUGAUUAGCUAGUUGGCAGGGCAACGGCCUACCAAGGCGACGAUCAGUAGCCGACCUGAGAGGGUGACCGGCCACAUUGGGACUGAGACACGGCCCAAACUCCUACGGGAGGCAGCAUG
rnacentral:rRNA from 1 species